ACGCUCGACACCUACGGGAGGCAGCAGUGGGGAAUAUUGCACAAUGGGGGAAACCCUGAUGCAGCGACGCCGCGUGAGUGAAGAAGUAUUUCGGUAUGUAAAGCUCUAUCAGCAGGGAAGAAGAUGACGGUACCUGAGUAAGAAGCCCCGGCUAACUACGUGCCCGCAGCCGCGGUAAUCUGAGCGGGCUGGCAAGGC
rnacentral:rRNA from 1 species